rfam:Camelus ferus unplaced genomic scaffold scaffold1443, whole genome shotgun sequence.
GUGGAUAUAGCUCAGUGGUAAAGUGCAUGCUUAGCAUGCACAAAGUGCUGGGUUCAAUCCCCAGUACCUCCA